AGUGAACGCUGGCGGUAGGCCUAACACAUGCAAGUCGAACGGCAGCACAGUAAGAGCUUGCUCUUACGGGUGGCGAGUGGCGGACGGGUGAGGAAUACAUCGGAAUCUACUUUUUCGUGGGGGAUAACGUAGGGAAACUUACGCUAAUACCGCAUACGACCUACGGGUGAAAGCAGGGGAUCUUCGGACCUUGCGCGAUUGAAUGAGCCGAUGUCGGAUUAGCUAGUUGGCGGGGUAAGGGCCCACCACGGCGACGAUCCGUAGCUGGUCUGAGAGGAUGAUCAGCCACACUGGAACUGAGACACGGUCCAGACUCCUACGGGAGGCAGCAGUGGGGAAUAUUGGACAAUGGGCGCAAGCCUGAUCCAGCCAUACCGCGUGGGUGAAGAAGGCCUUCGGGUUGUAAAGCCCUUUUGUUGGGAAAGAAAAGCAGCAGGUUAAUACCCCGCUGUUCUGACGGUACCCAAAGAAUAAGCACCGGCUAACUUCGUG
rnacentral:rRNA from 1 species